rnacentral:rRNA from 1 species
CGGCGAACGGGUGAGUAACACGUGGGCAACCUGCCCUCAGCUCUGGGAUAACCCCGGGAAACCGGGGCUAAUACCGGAUAUGACCUCGCAAGACAUCUUGCAGGGUGGAAAGAUUUAUCGGCUGAGGAUGGGCCCGCGGCCUAUCAGCUUGUUGGUGAGGUAACGGCUUACCAAGGCGACGACGGGUAGCCGGCCUGAGAGGGCGAUCGGCCACACUGGGACUGAGACACGGCCCAG